AGUGAACGCUGGCGGUAGGCCUAACACAUGCAAGUCGAACGGCAGCACAGUAAGAGCUUGCUCUUACGGGUGGCGAGUGGCGGACGGGUGAGGAAUACAUCGGAAUCUACUUUUUCGUGGGGGAUAACGUAGGGAAACUUACGCUAAUACCGCAUACGACCUACGGGUGAAAGCAGGGGAUCUUCGGACCUUGCGCGAUUGAAUGAGCCGAUGUCGGAUUAGCUAGUUGGCGGGGUAAAGGCCCACCAAGGCGACGAUCCGUAGCUGGUCUGAGAGGAUGAUCAGCCACACUGGAACUGAGACACGGUACAGACGCCUAAGGGAGGCAGCAGUGGGGAAUAUUGGACAAUGGGCGCAAGACUGAUCCAGCCAUACCGCGUGGGUGAAGAAGGCCUUCGGGUUGUAAAGCCCUUUUGUUGGGAAAGAAAAGCAGCAGGUUAAUACCCAGCUGUUCUGACGGUACACAAAGAAUAAGCACCGGCUAACUUCGUG
rnacentral:rRNA from 1 species